rnacentral:lncRNA from 1 species
AAAAGGUUGAAAAGUAAAGAUAAUGGAACACUUUUAUUGCUUAAUGUUUACAAAAUGGAAAAGAAAAACAUUAUUUUUUGUCCGCGAUGAGGAUAUAAAGACUAAAGGUAAGUUGUCUCUAUGGGCUGUAUCUGCUGCCAGCCCCUCUCUCUUGACCAUCGAGUUUGUACAUACACACGCACUAAUCAUCGCGCUUGACCAAUCAGCAUCGUUCAUUUUGGCUGAACGCCCGCCACUUUAUAAAAUCGCUGCUUAAUAAAAUCAGCUGCUUUAUGCAAUCAAAUCAUUAGGAACGGAUUCAAAC